UACGGAGGGGGCUAGCGUUGUUCGGAAUUACUGGGCGUAAAGCGCGCGUAGGCGGACCUGCAAGUCGGGGGUGAAAGCCCGAGGCUCAACCUCGGAACUGCCUUCGAUACUGCGGGUCUCGAGUCCGGGAGAGGUGAGUGGAAUUCCUAGUGUAGAGGUGAAAUUCGUAGAUAUCGAGAAGAACACCGGUGGCGAAGGCGGCCAUCUGGACGGUGACUGACGCUGAGACGCGAAAGCGUGGGGAGCAAACAGG
rnacentral:rRNA from 1 species